rnacentral:rRNA from 1 species
UACGAAGGGGGCUAGCGUUGUUCGGAAUUACUGGGCGUAAAGGGCGCGCAGGCGGCCGCUCAAGUCAGAUGUGAAAGCCCCGGGCUCAACCUGGGAACUGCAUUUGAUACUGAGUGGCUAGAGUUCGGGAGAGGAGAGUGGAAUUCCCAGUGUAGAGGUGAAAUUCGUAGAUAUUGGGAAGAACACCGGUGGCGAAGGCGGCUCUCUGGACCGAUACUGACGCUGAGGCGCGAAAGCGUGGGGAGCAAACAGG